rnacentral:tRNA from 1 species
GCUCCGAUAGCUCAACGGAUAGAGCAACUCCGUCCUAAGGAGAAGAUGUAGGUUCGAUUCCUUCUCGGGGUACCA